rnacentral:rRNA from 1 species
CAGAAGUUUUUUUUUUCUGGCUCAGGACGAACGCUGGCGGCGUGCCUAAUACAUGCAAGUUGAGCGCUGAAGGUUGGUACUUGUACCGACUGGAUGAGCAGCGAACGGGUGAGUAACGCGUGGGGAAUCUGCCUUUGAGCGGGGGACAACAUUUGGAAACGAAUGCUAAUACCGCAUAAAAACUUUAAACACAAGUUUUAAGUUUGAAAGAUGCAAUUGCAUCACUCAAAGAUGAUCCCGCGUUGUAUUAGCUAGUUGGUGAGGUAAAGGCUCACCAAGGCGAUGAUACAUAGCCGACCUGAGAGGGUGAUCGGCCACAUUGGGACUGAGACACGGCCCAAACUCCUACGGGAGGCAGCAGUAGGGAAUCUUCGGCAAUGGACGAAAGUCUGACCGAGCAACGCCGCGUGAGUGAAGAAGGUUUUCGGAUCGUAAAACUCUGUUGGUAGAGAAGAACGUUGGUGAGAGUGGAAAGCUCAUCAAGUGACGGUAACUACCCAGAAAGGGACGGCUAACUACGUGCCAGCAGCCGCGGUAAUACGUAGGUCCCGAGCGUUGUCCGGAUUUAUUGGGCGUAAAGCGAGCGCAGGUGGUUUAUUAAGUCUGGUGUAAAAGGCAGUGGCUCAACCAUUGUAUGCAUUGGAAACUGGUAGACUUGAGUGCAGGAGAGGAGAGUGGAAUUCCAUGUGUAGCGGUGAAAUGCGUAGAUAUAUGGAGGAACACCGGUGGCGAAAGCGGCUCUCUGGCCUGUAACUGACACUGAGGCUCGAAAGCGUGGGGAGCAAACAGGAUUAGAUACCCUGGUAGUCCACGCCGUAAACGAUGAGUGCUAGAUGUAGGGAGCUAUAAGUUCUCUGUAUCGCAGCUAACGCAAUAAGCACUCCCCCCGGGGGGAC